CACGUAGGCGGCUUCUUAAGUCAGGGGUGAAAUCCUGGAGCUCAACUCCAGAACUGCCCUUGAUACUGAGAAGCUUGAGUCCGGGAGAGGUGAGUGGAACUGCGAGUGUAGAAGUGAAAUUCGUAGAUAUUCGCAAGAACACCAGUGGCGAAGGCGGCUCACUGGCCCGGUACUGACGCUGAGGUGCGAAAGCGUGGGAGCAAACA
rnacentral:rRNA from 1 species